GAAAGCUGAUUUCCAUCAGUGAGUCUUUCUCAUUAGCCCCAGUUGUAUCAUCUACAUGGAACUCCAACAUGACAUCAUUUUUUCCUUGAAGCUGUGUUUGAGAAACGUCUGCCAGUGAUAUCUCAAAUGCUUGCUUAUUACCAACAAGAAAAGCGAGCAUAUUUGCAUUUAGAUCGACUUCUCCCCAAUUUUUUCCACUAAUUGAUAGCUGCUUUUCCUCUGGAGAUAUCCCACAAGAACUCUGGAAAUAGGUGGUCAAACUCGCAACAUCCUGGUCACGAAAACCGGUAAAUUUGUAGUAAAGACCAUCCUUAAUCCGCACACCCAGCUGAUUACUUCGAGGAACUUUCAUCCAAGUAAGGCCCACUAUAUCAUCCUUGUCAACUUCCACAGCCUUACCACCACCUUGUUUCUUCCAUAAUAUACCUCCAGACUGAACCUUGAGCUGCCCUGUAUUGGUGCCUCCACGGCCGCCGAGAGAGAUGUUGUUGAACUGAUGACCGUCCGUCAUUGCUUCGUCUGUAAAAACACACUGCUGUAAG
rnacentral:misc_RNA from 1 species